AACGAACGCUGGCGGCAUGCCUAACACAUGCAAGUCGAACGAUUGCCUUCGGGUGAUAGUGGCGCACGGGUGCGUAACGCGUGGGAAUCUGCCCUUAGGUUCGGAAUAACAGCUGGAAACGGCUGCUAAUACCGGAUGAUAUCGCGAGAUCAAAGAUUUAUCACCUGAGGAUGAGCCCGCGUUGGAUUAGGUAGUUGGUGGGGUAAAGGCCUACCAAGCCGACGAUCCAUAGCUGGUCUGAGAGGAUGAUCAGCCACACUGGGACUGAGACACGGCCCAGACUCCUACGGGAGGCAGCAGUGGGGAAUAUUGGACAAUGGGCGCAAGCCUGAUCCAGCAAUGCCGCGUGAGUGAUGAAGGCCCUAGGGUUGUAAAGCUCUUUUACCCGGGAAGAUAAUGACUGUACCGGGAGAAUAAGCCCCGGCUAACUCCGUG
rnacentral:rRNA from 1 species